rnacentral:rRNA from 1 species
ACUCCGUGCCAGCAGCCGCGGUAAUACGGAGGGUGCAAGCGUUGUCCGGAAUCAUUGGGCGUAAAGAGUUCGUAGGUGGUUUGUUAAGUUUGGUGUUAAAUGCAGAGGCUCAACUUCUGUUCGGCAUCGGAUACUGGCAGACUAGAAUGCGGUAGAGGUAAAGGGAAUUCCUGGUGUAGCGGUGAAAUGCGUAGAUAUCAGGAGGAACAUCGGUGGCGUAAGCGCUUUACUGGGCCGUAAUUGACACUGAGGAACGAAAGCUAGGGUAGCAAAUGGGAUUAGAUACCCCAGUAGUCCUGGCCGUAAACGAUGGAUACUAGGUGUUGCGGGUAUCGACCCCUGCAGUGCCGUAGCAAACGCGUUAAGUAUCCCGCCUGGGGAGUACGCACGCAAGUGUGAAACUCAAAGGAAUUGACGGGGACCCGCACAAGCGGUGGAACAUGUGGUUUAAUUCGAAGCAACGCGAAGAACCUUACCAGGGCUUGACAUCUAACAAACCUUUGUGAAAGCAGAGGGUGCUCUUCGGAGAAUGUUAAGACAGGUGGUGCACGGUUGUCGUCAGCUCGUGUCGUGAGAUGUUGGGUUAAGUCCCGCAACGAGCGCAACCCUCGUCGUUAGUUGGUACUAUCGGUAUACUUAUAGUAACCUCUCUAGCGAGACUGCCGGUGAUAAACCGGAGGAAGGUGAGGACGAUGUCAAAUCAUCAUGCCCCUUAUGCUCUGGGCUACACACGUGUUACAAUGGCCGGUACAAUGAGCCGCCAACUCGCGAGAGUGAGCAAAUCUCUAAAAGCCGGUCUCAGUUCGGAUUGCAGUCUGCAACUCGACUGCAUGAAGUCGGAAUCGCUAGUAAACGCAGAUCAGCACGCUGCGUUGAAUACGUUCCCGGGUCUUGUACACACCGCCCGUCACACCAUGGAAGUCGACCACGCCCGAAGUACGUGAGCUAACCGUAAGGAAGCAGCGUCCUAAGGCAGGGUUGGUGACUGGGGUGAAGUCGUAACAAGGUAGCCGUACCGGAAGGUGUGGCUG